rnacentral:rRNA from 1 species
GAAAUCGCGCAGGAUAAUACUCUGCGUGGAUGACGGUACCGGAAGAAGAAGCACCGGCUAACUACGUGCCAGCAGCCGCGGUAAUACGUAGGGUGCGAGCGUUAAUCGGAAUUACUGGGCGUAAAGCGUGCGCAGGCGGUUAUGUAAGACAGAUGUGAAAUCCCCGGGCUCAACCUGGGAACUGCGUUUGUGACUGCAUAACUAGAGUACGGCAGAGGGAGGUGGAAUUCCGCGUGUAGCAGUGAAAUGCGUAGAUAUGCGGAGGAACACCGAUGGCGAAGGCAGCCUCCUGGGCCAGUACUGACGCUCAUGCACGAAAGCGUGGGGAGCAAACAGGAUUAGAUACCCUGGUAGUCCACGCCCUAAACGAUGUCAACUAGUUGUUCGGUGAGGAGACUCAUUGAGUAACGCAGCUAACGCGUGAAGUUGACCGCCUGGGGAGUACGG